AAGAACCUAUAUGUAUCUCAAUAGUCCUUCCUCUCGUGAUGUGUAGAAGACCAGAGGACGCUGAAGGGACUGUAGAAGCUUGAAAUUAGCUUACCUUUGUCUUGAUGUGUUACGCGUUAUUAGUAUCUAUGUGUGAGACUUGCCUUUUUAUGUGUUCAUAAGAUCGUAAGGUAGCCGUAGCGCUUGGCGGUGUCAAUCAUAACUCAGUUAUGUUGAUUUAUCCAAAAUUGCCUACUAAUAAUUUGUUCAAGCGAGACUUGCCUUUUCUGUGUUCAUAAGAUCAUAAGGUAGCCGUAGAGCUUGUUGGCGGUGUCAAUCAUAACUCAGUUAUGUUGAUUUAUUCAAAAUUGCCUACUAAUAAUUUGUUCAAA
rnacentral:lncRNA from 1 species